rnacentral:rRNA from 1 species
GACGAACGCUGGCGGCGUGCCUAAUACAUGCAAGUCGAGCGGAACUGAUGAGGUGCUUGCACCUCUCGAUUUUAGCGGCGGACGGGUGAGUAACACGUGGGUAACCUACCUAUAAGACUGGGAUAACUUCGGGAAACCGGAGCUAAUACCGGAUAAUAGUUAGCUUCGCAUGAAGCAAUAGUGAAAGACGGUUCUGCUGUCACUUAUAGAUGGACCUGCGGUGUAUGAGCUAGUUGGGGAGGUAACGGCUCACCAAGGCAACGAUACAUAGCCGACCUGAGAGGGUGAUCGGCCACACUGGGACUGAGACACGGCCCAGACUCCUACGGGAGGCAGCAGUAGGGAAUCUUCCGCAAUGGACGAAAGUCUGACGGAGCAACGCCGCGUGAGUGAAGAAGGUUUUCGGAUCGUAAAACUCUGUUGUAAGGGAAGAACAAGUACGUUAGUAACUGAACGUACCUUGACGGUACCUUACCAGAAAGCCACGGCUAACUACGUGCCAGCCGCCGCCGUAAAAC